CAGCAGCCGCGGUAAUACGUAGGGUGCGAGCGUUAAUCGGAAUUACUGGGCGUAAAGCGAGCGCAGACGGUUAUUUAAGCAGGAUGUGAAAUCCCCGGGCUUAACCUGGGAACUGCGUUCUGAACUGGAUAGCUAGAGUGUGUCAGAGGGGGGUAGAAUUCCACGUGUAGCAGUGAAAUGCGUAGAGAUGUGGAGGAAUACCGAUGGCGAAGGCAGCCCCCUGGGAUAACACUGACGUUCAUGCUCGAAAGCGUGGGUAGCAAACAGGAUUAGAUACCCCUGUAGUCCCUGUCUCUUAUAC
rnacentral:rRNA from 1 species